UGAAAAUCCAUUAUGCUCUCUGGCUUGCAAAAAUCUUGGCUAGCUUACGAUUUGAAGCGUGGACUCAUUAAAAACACUACUGACGAAACGUGAUUUUGGUACCUACCUGAUAUGAGCUCUGAGUCGAAAAAUCUGUGUCGAGAGUUUUUUUUUCUUGGUUCGUGUGCAUAUUUUAUAUUUAUAUAUAUAUUCCUCUAUAUUUUUUAAGAGGUUAACAGCCACGCAUGUGGAGAGUCCAUCUUCUGUAUGGUUCAUGUAAUUUUUUUCUCCUAACUUCCAGAAUAUAUGUUCGUAACAAACACUGCAUGGUUAAGAGCUUCAGCCCAAAAAGCGUCCGAUAAUUUAGCUCUGUGAAUCAUGGCUUAGCCCUUCCUUUAAAAUUCCAUUUUACCGUUGUACAAUUGAGUUAUUUGAAGGUGUCCCUAGAGACUUAAAUGAUUGUUUUAUGCUACUUUGAAAAUUUUUUCUCGAAAAGCCUUAUUAGUAAAAUCGAAAUUUGCUAAACGCCAGGGCCACAGAAGAUUUUGAUACAGCCGGUAUAACCCAGAUAAAUUUAGUACCUUUGCAUACUACGGAAGGCUGUGCACUGCCCCGCCUAGUGACUUUAGCCACCGGCCAUAUACAUCGAUGUUCAUAUGAAACCCGGCUGGGAGCCCGUCAUAAAAUCGUAAUGCUCUGGCCUCGUCCAGGUAGAAACAAACCAUUUGUAUUUCUAGUGGCAGUCAAGACUGGAGAUGCUUCAAAUAAAAGAUGGUUCUUGCCAUCUUUAUAAGGUCAUUCCACCAAGGCGGUAGGUUUCCCCACUAUAAUAUCGGAAGUACUUGGGUUAAGUUGACAAUAAGAAUCCAGAGAUCUAUCGGGAGCAGGGUGGUUAGCCGCAGAGCUGUUUUCAGUUAUUUU